rnacentral:lncRNA from 1 species
CGGGCGCGCGCGCGCGGGCGGGCAGGCGAGCUGGGCGGGCGGGGUCGGUCCUGGCCUCGCGAUCCGCAGCUCCCUCCCGGCUGCUCCGGCAGCGGCGGAUCCACUUCCCGAACAAACAGCCGGAACUGACAGAAACACCUCCCUCCGCUCCCCCACCUCCGCCUCCUCCUCCUCCUCCUCAGCAGCCGCCGCCGGUGCCGCCGCCUCCCUCCUUCCCGCCCCGCCCCGCCACUGCGCAGGCGCGGGGGCUGGAACCGCCUCUGCGCAGCCGCAGCCCCGGCCAGCCGCGCCCUCUCCGCGCACGCGCAGUGCGCUACGCUCGCCGGCCGAGGUCCGAGUGAGCUAGCGAGCGAGCGAGCGAGCGAGCGCCGUCGCUGCGGAUCCCCGGGAGAACCGAACCGUUUAGCAGGGCCCGACGGAAGAGAGGUGACAACCGGCCGCAGGGCUGAAGCCUGGAGUUUUCCGGACGCAGCGCGGAGCCAGCCCCACGUUUUUUUCCAGUUGGAGCGGAAGCCCACCUGCCCGUCCCCGAGAGCUGUCGCUGCCAUCGCCAUCCUCCCUGCAGGUCUGCAGGGAUUGCCCCAUCCCUGUGGUUUUUUACUUUUUCCAGACAAGUUCUCAAGUAUCCCAGGGUGGCUUCCUGACUCUCUCGAGUAGCCGAGGAUAACCAUAUACUUCUGAUCCCACCUGUACCUCCUGAGUCCUGUUUUAAUGUGGUGCUGAGACUCGAACCCAUGGCUUCGCAGAUGCUAGGCAGACGCUUUUCGAGCUGAGCUCCACCCCCAGCCUCUUUGUCCCUGCUUCUUCUUGCCCUCCAGUGCUUUCCAGCCAAGCACCUGUUGGGGAUACUGCCCACUCCUAAUCUUUCCCCGUAAGAAGCAGUGCUAGUGUUUAAAACAAAACAACAACAAAAU